UAUUGGUCAAUGGCCGGAAGGCUGAACCAGCCAAGUCGCGUGGGGGAAUAAGGCCCUACGGGNCGUAAACCUCUUUUGUCAGGGANNACNNNCNCCCACGUGUGGACGGAAGGAGAGUACCUGGAGAAAANNNANCNGCUAACUCCGUGCCAGCAGCCGCGGUAAUACGGAGGAUGCGAGCGUUAUCCGGAUUUAUUGGGUUUAAAGGGUGCGUAGGCGGCCUGCCAAGUCAGCGGUAAAAUUGCGGGGCUCAACCCCGUACAGCCGUUGAAACUGCCGGGCUCGAGUGGGCGAGAAGUAUGCGGAAUGCGUGGUGUAGCGGUGAAAUGCAUAGAUAUCACGCAGAACCCCGAUUGCGAAGGCAGCAUACCGGCGCCCUACUGACGCUGAGGCACGAAAGUGCGGGGAUCA
rnacentral:rRNA from 1 species